GUCUAUGGCCAUACCACCCUGAAUGCACCCAAUCUCGGAAGCUAGGCAGGGUCGGGCCUGGUUAGAACAUGGAUGGGAGAAAUUCCUAGCUAUAAAAA
rnacentral:rRNA from 1 species